rnacentral:rRNA from 1 species
GAUGAACGCUAGCGGCAGGCUUAACACAUGCAAGUCGAGGGGUAUUGGUUUUCGGACCAAGAGACCGGCGCACGGGUGCGUAACGCGUAUGCAAUCUACCUUUUGCAGAGGGAUAGCCCCAGAGAAAUUUGGAUUAAUACCUCAUAGUAUAGUACUUUGGCAUCAAGGAACUAUUAAAGUCACAACGGCAAAGAUGAGCAUGCGUCCCAUUAGCUAGUUGGUAAGGUAACGGCUUACCAAGGCUACGAUGGGUAGGGGUUCUGAGAGGGAGAUCCCCCACACUGGUACUGAGACACGGACCAGACUCCUACGGGAGGCAGCAGUGAGGAAUAUUGGACAAUGGGCGCAAGCCUGAUCCAGCCAUGCCGCGUGCAGGAUGACGGUCCUAUGGAUUGUAAACUGCUUUAUACAGGAAGAAACCCUCCACGUGUGGGAGCUUGACGGUACUGUAGGAAUAAGGAUCGGCUAACUCCGUGCC